CCGCAAUGGGCGAAAGCCUGACGGAGCAAUACCGCGUGAGGGAGGAAGGCUCUUGGGUUGUAAACCUCUUUUCUCAGGGAAGAAAAAAAUGACGGUACCUGAGGAAUAAGCAUCGGCUAACUCCGUGCCAGCAGCCGCGGUAAUACGGAGGAUGCAAGCGUUAUCCGGAAUGAUUGGGCGUAAAGGGUCCGCAGGUGGCUAUGUAAGUCUGCUGUUAAAGAAUGAGGCUUAACCUCAUCAGAGCGGUGGAAACUACACAGCUAGAGUGCGUUCGGGGUAGAGGGAAUUCCUGGUGUAGCGGUGAAAUGCGUAGAUAUCAGGAAGAACACCAGUGGCGAAAGCGCUCUACUAGGCCGCAACUGACACUGAGGGACGAAAGCUAGGGGAGCGAAAGGGAUUAGAUAC
rnacentral:rRNA from 1 species